UUCAUCUCUAAACCGAAUUUUUUAUUUUAAAUACUUGAUAAUUUUUUUUAAAUUUUUUCAAAAAUUACCUUACUACAAAAGAUUGAUAUUUACAUCUGAACAGAUUUGCUAAUAAAAGCUAUUUAUAAUUUUGUUGCUUUUAUAAGAACUUGAAGAGAAAUUAUGCAGAUUCCUUUCUCAACAUAUAUUUCCUCUAUAUGUUUAAUGUUAGAAUUUUGUGACUUCUCCUAUACUGAUUUUAUUGCUGUUUUAUUAUUAUUCAAGUAUUCAUAUCAAAUAUUCAUAUUUCAGUUGGAAAAUGAGGAAAACAUUAGUAGUUUUUAGAAUAAUCAUAGAAUUUCAUAAGGCCACCAUGCAAUGUGGAGACACAGAUGUUUCUGCUUUGUGUAAAGAAUACUUACAAAGAACUGCCUAAUUACUUGCAUCUUAUAUUUGAAACACGACCAACUCCAAAAGUAAAGGAUUUAUAAGGCAGCUACGUUGGAACCUUCAUUGAAAGAAACAUUUACCAUAACACCGAUUCAAAUUCAGACAAGUGAAAAAAGGCCCAGAUUCAACUACUGAGAUGGAGCAAUCCAUCUUUCAACAAAGAAGUUUAUGUUGACUUUAUGCAUGCACAGAUAAAAACAUUAUCUUUUCUGACUUACUUAGUUAGAAUAUAUCAGAAUGCUGUGAAUGAACAUUCUUCUCAGUUUGCUAAAGGAAUGAUAGGAUUGUUGUGUCUAUGUCUGCAAGAAGUGGCCCAUUUGUGCAAAGAAUUGCUUGUAGCAGCCUGUCAUAUGUCAGCCACAGAUCUAAGAGAUAGCCUCUUGCUUAUAGUACUUUCGCUAAUCUUGCUCAUCGUGGGAGACAAUAUUUAUAGUUGAAGGAUCUGGCUAAGGCUGUAAAUGUGUUCUUAAAAAAUGUUUAUGAUGAAUCUUUCGUAACUACAAUUCAAACAAUGUCUUGUAUGUUUAUUCUGAAUUUAGUUGAAUGCAUUAGAAUAAGAUCUGAUCCAUAAAAUGGCAAUGGCCAGGAGUUGUUAAAG
rnacentral:misc_RNA from 1 species